CUUGUUGUCGUAGUUCGAAGAGGAUAUAAAUAGCUGUUAUAUUGUAGCCCAAGUAAGUAGCUCAGUUCAUACUGCCGACGAACGCCCUGAACAUUUUGAAGACUUUCCUGAAGGAAUAAGCCCGAGCAACUCUUUUUUUCUUUUUUUGCCAUCAAUUGUCAACACCAUGAAUUUCAAGUUCCUGUUGCUUUUAUGUCUUAUCUUUGUGAUCUUGAUGCCUGAUGCCCAGGCCUGGAGACGUCGACGACGACGCCGCCGUGUGCCAUCUCCCCCACCUCCCCCAUCUCGCAGUUGCCACGUGAAAUGUUUCAAGUUUUGCCACCACGGAAAGCGCGAUGCACCUGAAGAUGAGCCAGAAAUCUCAUACAAAGAUCUUGGGCCAAAUAGAAAAUGAAAGAAAAUCAGUCAAGCUCAGGUGAUAAACAGUUAAGCAGCACCCAAGCAUCUAUAAUGAAAAAAUGUGCAGUUUAAGAUCCUAUAGAAUUCAUUAAAGCAUAUUCAACAAUCAA